CGAUUCCGGAGAGGGAGCCUGAGAAACGGCUACCACAUCCAAGGAAGGCAGCAGGCGCGCAAAUUACCCAAUCCCAACACGGGGAGGUAGUGACAAUAAAUAACAAUAUGGGGCCUUUACGGGUCUCGUAAUUGGAAUGAGUACAAUUUAAAUCUCUUAACGAGGAACAAUUGGAGGGCAAGUCUGGUGCCAGCAGCCGCGGUAAUUCCAGCUCCAAUAGCGUAUAUUAAAGUUGUUGCAGUUAAAAAGCUCGUAGUUGAAUUUCGGGAUCUAUCCGUCGGUCGGGCCUCACGGUCCGCACUGGUGUGAUGGAUUCCUACCUUCUGAAUAACCGGUAUGCCAUUAAUUUGAUGUGCCGGGGAAGCAGAACCAUUACCUUGAAAAAAUUAGAGUGCUCAAAGCAGGCCUAUGCCUGAAUACAUUAGCAUGGAAUAAUAAAAUAGGACGGCAUGGUUCUAUUUUGUUGGUUUCUAGGAUCACCGUAAUGAUUAAUAGGGAUAGUUGGGGGCAUUAGUAUUCAAUUGUCAGAGGUGAAAUUCUUGGAUUUAUUGAAGACUAACUUCUGCGAAAGCAUUUGCCAAGGAUGUUUUCAUUAAUCAAGAACGAAAGUUAGGGGAUCGAAGACGAUCAGAUACCGUCGUAGUCUUAACCAUAAACUAUGCCGACUAGGGAUCGGACGAUGUUAAUUUUAUAAUGAC
rnacentral:rRNA from 1 species